rnacentral:lncRNA from 1 species
UCGGAGGGCGAACGGAGCAGGUUUCUUCGCGUACGUCGUCCUCACGCGCCGGACCGCUAAUUACACGUUUUUGUCGUUGCCAACGUACUGUACGUAGAGGUAGAGAUAGAGCAGAGGGUCCAGCGUUGGAUCAACGGCAACAAUAGUGGUAUAAUAAUAAAACCGUAACCGUACGUAUGCGCCUUUCCCACAUGCUUCAGGUGUGAGUGUGACCCGGUCGUGUGCUUCUCAGCUUCGAGAAUGUACUGCUGUCCGUAGUCUGCAUGUACGCACGUAUCACACCGUUGAGAGUGUAGCCUGUUUUAAACCUUCAAGUUAUAGAGCUCGUCUAAAAUAAAUCUUCCUCUUUAAAUCCCUAAAG